rnacentral:piRNA from 1 species
UCCGGCCAAGGAGCCAAUGUGAGCAUUCA